UGAUCCCAUUUUGUAAAAAGAGAGAGCUUUAAUUCUCUUCUUCUCAAUUGUAUUGUCUUAGGUCCACUUUUUCUUUAACCUCCUCUAUUUUAUCCAAGUCUCCAAUUUUAAUUUAUCCAAGUCUCUAAUUUUAAAUACGUUUUGCAUAUUAUCCAACAAAUUUGGUAUCAUAGCUGUUAUGAACAAGACUCCAUAUGAAGCAUGGCACAAACAAAAGCCCCAGGUACAUUUUUUAAAAAAAAUAUUUAGAUGCAUAGCUUAUGCACAUGUUUCCUCACAAUACAGAGAAAAAUUUGAUGAAAAAGGAGAGAAAUAUAUAUUUUUUGGCUAUAGCAGUUAGUCAAAAGGUUACGAACUAUACAAUCCAAAAACAACUAAGCUGAUAAAUUCUAAAGAUGUUAUCUUUGACGAAUCAGCAACAUGGAAUUGGGAAAGCGCUCCCAACACAGAAGCAAAAAUAUUUGAAGAAAUUCCUAUUCAGGACAAGUCAAAUUCUCAACCAAGUUGUAACACCCCAUACCAAAAUACACAUAUUUUAACAGCUUGAUCAAGUUUGACUAAGUUUGACCAAGUUUGACCAAGUGAAUCAUAUAUGGGUCCAAGUUGACUUUUUCUAUAAUCAAUAUUUUUGGUUUGACUGAGGUAAUGUUGUAUAGAUCUAGUCGAUACAAGUUCAUAGACUGGUGGCACGUCAAAUUCUAAGUUACAGAUAAAAAGUUAUGGUUCUAAGAAAUUUUAAGCAUAAGUUUUAUAUCAAUGUCCAACCAGUCUCUAGUCUUUGUCUGUUAGUACCCCUAGGCUCUAUAUAAGCCUCGGUGAGCAAGCCAAAUAGGAAAACAAAUUCCAAAAUACCCUUUCCAGCCCCCAAAACCAGAUAAAUCCUCCCCAGACCAGUGGAUCCAAAUUGGGUCGUUUCGACCCUUUAAACGGUGAACUGGGUCACCACCGUUUUUGCUCAUUCUGGCCACCAACUUUGUAUGUGCACCAGCCAGUGAGAAAUACCACUUUGAGGUGAGCUUGGUUGUGAAAUUUCAUGGAGAACGGCAACUGGAUGCGCCCGGAUCCGACUGGAGAAGACGGCAUCGACCGGCAAGGUGGGUCGCUGGAUUUUCACGUUUUUUGACCGUUUUAGGCCAACCCAUAGACUUUUCCCAUCAUUGUUGGACCCUCUGAACUCAAUUUCAUGGUUCUUUUUCCCAGAUUCCUCACCGUUUGGGAGAUACGACAAUGGGAAGUUUGGCCAAUGCUUCAACUGUAUUUUUCGGCCACCCGAGGAAUUUUUUUGGACCAAGGUCCAGGCAGUUAGUAGCAGUCUACCUUGUGCACCUCUUGUUACUUCGUUCCCUUCCACAACAGCAGCAGUAUUAUCUUUUCUUUAUCUUACCUUUAUCUUUUCGAACAUCGUUUAUUUCUUAUUUGUACUUCUAAACUUUGUUAACAACCUUAAAAUGCUCUAAUUUAAAUAUUAGACUCAAUAGAGACCAUAUUACUUAUGGGUGUAGUUAUGGCCUAUGGUACAAUAGGUCGGUUGUGGACUUUGUGUUGUUGUGGAUUUAUUUAUAUUUAUAUAUUGAGGUAUUAUUAGUAAUGCAUGUGUUCUUUGUCCACGUUUUAAGGUGAGGUUCCAUUGGAUAUUCUCUAGGGAUUGUCCUGUGGAACUUCACUAGGUGGGACCACCCAAGAGAUCCUGGGAAGAUUCCAGGGGCGGGUCCUGUCAAAGUCAAAACCCUGGUCCAAGCACAAGUUAAGAAACUUCAAGCCCAAUCCAAAGAAUGGAUAUAUCUUCAGAUGAUGAAUCACUGCCAAGAAAGGUACGCUUACUUGUAGAUAUCUAUGAAUUUACUAAUAUGGCAUUUUUGGCAGGUGAGCCUCAAAAUUUUGUAGAAGCAAUAAAUGAAGAUAUUUGGAUUAAAGUAAUGGAUGAAGAAAUUGCAACAAGUGAAAAAAAUGAUACAUGGGAACUGGUGAAUUUGCCUGAAGGCAAAGAUGUUAUUGGACUCAAAUGGAUCUGCAAACCCAAGUACAAAGAAGAUGGAACAAUUCUAAAGUACAAAGCAUGGCUAGUAGCCAAAGGCUGUUCGCAAUAGCCAUGAAUCAACUUCAACAAGACAUUCGCACCAGUUGCUCGAAUGGAAAUUAUUAGAACAGUCCUCGCAUUAGCUGCUCAAAUGGAGGUACCUUUUAUCAACUGGAUGUCAAAUCUGCCUUCCUUAAUGGAGAACUCAAAGAGAAACUAUAUGUGGAACAACCUUUGGGCUACACCAUCAAAGAAAAAGAAAACAAAGUCUUAUGAUUAAAGAAGGCACUAUAUGGACUAAAGUAAGCACCACGAGCUUGGAACAGCAAAAUUGAUUCAUACUUCAAACAAAAUGGAUUUCAAUGGAGUCUAAGUGAGCCUUCCUUAUAUGUCAAAAUAAAAGGUGUGCAAGAUAUUCUCAUUGUCUGCUUAUAUGUCGAUGAUUUGAUUUAUACUGGUGCUAAUAAAAAAAUGGUACAAGAAUUCAAAAGUGCAAUGAUGAAAGAAUAUGAGAUGACAGAUCUUGGCUUGAUGAAAUAUUUUCUUGGCAUCCAAGUUCAAUAAGCAAAAGGAGAAAUAUUUAUUUCUCAAGAAAAAUAUUUUAAAUAAUCUUCUCAAACGGUUUCAUAUGGACAAAUGUAAACCAGGAUCUAUGCUAAUGGCGUUAAAUGAAAAGUUACGUAAGAAUGAUGGCGCAGAGAAAGUUGAUGCAAAAAAUUAUAGAAGUUUAGUUGGGUGCCUCAUUUGUCUAACAAAUACCAAGCCAGAUAUUGUUUUUGCUGUUAGUUAUGUUUCUAGAUUCAUGCACGAGCCUAGUAACAAUCACUACACUGCAGCAAAGAGAAUCCUUCGUUAUCUACAAGGUACCAGAAAGCUUGGAAUUAACUAUGCCAAAGAAGCAGAUAACAAGCUCAUUGGAUAUAAAGACAGUGACUGGGCAGGCUCUGUAGAUGACCACAAAAUCACCUCAGGAUAUUUAUUUUUCUUGGGUACAAAACUAAUUUCUUGGUCAUCAAAAAAGUAAAGGACCGUGGUAUUAUCUUCAGUAGAAGCAGAAUAUAUAUCUGCUACAGAUGCAGCAAAGUGAAGCAGUAUGGCUGAGAAGAAUUUUAUCAGAUAUGCAAUAUAAAGAAAGUGCUCCAACAAUCAUCAGGUGUGAUAAUAUGUCAGCAAUAGCAAUGACAAAAAAUCCAAUGUUCCACAGCAGGACAAAGCAUAUAGAAAUUCAACAUCACUUCAUUAGAUAUUUGGUCGAAGAAGAAGAAAUUAAACUUUAAUUUGUCAACACAUCUGAGCAACUAGCAAACAUUUUUACAAAGCUGAUAACAAUGGAGAAGCUAGAAGAUUUCAAUAGCUUUGCCAAAAUUACAAAUUAAGAGGGGGUGUUAAAAAGUAAAAUAAUAAUUAUUAAAAUAAUAAUUUGUAAUUUCAUGGCAAAGUGUUUGUAAGAGGAUGAGAGGAUGACUUAAGCAAGGAAGCAUCAUUAGCCUUAUCCAUUAAGCCACUUUUGUUGACAAAGUAGAAGCUAUCAUGAUAGAAGACAAAUUCAAUUUGAACUCUACCACUUUAGGAGAAAUCAAGUUAAAUUUGAACUCUACCUUAGAAGAACUCAAUUUCAAGUUGAACUCUACCAAAGGAGAAUUCAAUUUCAAUUGGAAUUCCACCUCCUUUUCUCCUCUAUAUAUAUGCAUUUAGGCUUGUUGUAAAAUUUGAUCCCAUUUUGUAAAAAGAGAGAGCUUUAAUUCUCUUCCUCUCAAUUGUAUUGUCUUGGGUCCACUCUUUCUUUAAACUCCUCUAUUUUAUCCAACAGCCUCUGCAGAUGACAACAAUACAAUCUUUUGCUUCUUUGUUGACCUAGAUGUGACUUUUGUUCCCAAACAAAACACAUAGCCAGAAGUGCUUUUUCUAUCAACAAUAGAACCUACCCAAUCACCAUUUGUGUAACCUUUCAGUUUACUUUCUUCUUCUUUCUUGUAGAAGAUGCCAAAAUUCUUUGUUCAUUUUAUAUAUAUUAGAAUCCUUUUAGCUGCUACAAAAUGCUUCUUGCUUGGGCUGUCCAUGAAUCUGGAAACAACACUGACAGAGAAAAUAAUAUUUGGCCUUGUGUUUGUCCAAUAAAUAAGUAAUCCAACAAGACUCCUAUAAAUUGAUUCAUCAAAUUUUCUUUUUCCAUCAUAUCUUGAUCAACUUUCACUUGGGUUCAUGGGAGUUUGUGCAACAUUGCAUUUAGGCAAAUUAAACCUUUUCGACAAAUCAUCUGUAUAUUUCUCCUGGGACAAAAAUUUUCUUCCUAGCUCUUGCUUUACCUGAAUGCCCAAAAGAUACCUCAUAAGAUCAAGAUCGGUCAUCUCAAAUUCCUUCAUCAUAGCUUUUUUGAAAUCUUGAAUCAUUUGAUUAUUGGUUCCCAUAUAAAUUAAAUCAUCAACAUAAAGGCAUACAAUGAGAAAAUUAUGUGUACCUUGCAUUUUCACAUAAAGUGAUGGCUCAUUUGGACUUUUCGAAAACCAUGUUGCUCAAAAUAUUGAUCAAUUAUGCUAUUCCAUACAUGAGGUGAUAAAGCCUUCUAAAGAUGGUAAACCUUGUUUUCUUUUCCCUUGACAACAUAACUAAGUGGCUGUUCAACAUGCACUUCCUUUUCAAUUUGUGCAUUCUAAAAUGCAGAUUUGACAUCUAGUUGGAAAACUUGAAGUUCCAUCUGUGCAGCUAAUGCUAAAACAGUCCUUAUGGUUUUCAUUCUUGCUACAGGUGCAGAAGUGUCGGAGGCUGUUGCGAGCACCCUUUGGCCAUAAGUCUUGCCUUGUAUUUUUGAAUUGAACCAUCCUCAUUGAAUUUUGUUUUAUCCAUUCUUCAUCCAUUGCUUUUUUCCAAGCUUGAUCUUUCACAAGCUUCUUCAUACUUCUGUGCCUCAUGGGAAAUGUAAGCAACAUUAUAAUUUUGAUAAACUUUUCUAUUGAGCGUACCUUCCUUGGUGGUGUUGAUGAAUGUGUGCCUGGAUUGAUAUUUUGUUGCUGUCUUAGACUUGCUGGUGGAGUGUCUUCUUGCUAUCUUAGACUUUCUAGUGGAGUUCUAAAUGUAUUUUCCUCAAUCCUUUUCGAUGUUCCAGAUGCUUUAAAUAAGGGGUUUUUGGCAGCUCCUCAUGUUUCUAUUUUCAAGCUCAGUUUUCAUAAAAAAUGACAUCUUUUGAGAUUACUAGUUCCCUUGAAUUAGGAUUAUAUAAACGAUAUCCCUUGGACUCUUUAGUGUACCCAA